GUGAGAUGAAAUCAACGUUUGGGCAUACGAUUUUACACUGAUUUCAUCUCAUGA
rnacentral:pre_miRNA from 1 species